rnacentral:lncRNA from 1 species
CCCCACUCUACUAAACCCCGGCCCUUUUAAAAAAUAAAAAUAAAAUAAAAUAAAAAAAACCCCACCAUCACCAAUUGGUUAACAAACUGACUCCACUCUGACGCUGCCAGUAUGACUCUGGAGUCCAGCCUCUGGUAUACCCCCAAUGACACAGGCCAAACCGUGUGCCAACGCGGAUCCUCUCGCUACUCCUUGAAACCCUGUGAAGGUGGAGCAUGUUGACGUCACAUCGGAAUGUGAUGUUGCGUGCUUUGGUGCACCUCCACUGUCCAGCUGCAGACAUUGCAACACACACACAUUCUUGCACACACUUUCAUUUUAUUUAUUGUUCCCUACCUUUGGGAGCCUCUUCUCUCGGGAGGUCUCCUACCUGCUCACUCACGCAGUUUAGUGGUGCUGGAAUUAUGUCAUAUUCCAGCACCCAGCAUCACUACAGAGAGGGAGUAGUGAGGAGCAGGAAGACUGAGCUCAUCUCACCCCACCUCUUGGCUGGGUAAUUUUUUAUUUUUAUUUUUUUUAAGCAGAGUAGGCACGUGCCUACUCUGCCUUAGUAAGCAUGGCACACUCUCAUCUUGCAGGCCAUGAGUUUGAUAUGCUUGCUGUAAGAUCUGAUUAAAAAUGAAUAGGGCUGCAGAAACUGAUAAAACAUCUUAAGGACGUUUGUUCCUGUAGUACAGCAUUUGAACGUCCUGCAAAUUUGGAGUGAGCAGGGUUAAAAGGUACACUAGAACCAUUACAGGUGAUUGUGGUGUCUAUAGCAUGUCCAUGAAAUUUCAAUGUAAAUGUUGCCUUUUCAGAGAGAUCAGUGAUUACAUUGCUGCAUAAUAACCCAUCUAGUGGCAAUUACUCAGACAACCACUAGAGGUGCAUCUUAGUUCUGCUCAGAGCCCUAUAACUUCAUAAAAGUGUGGCUCUGAUGUGGUUUUUCCCAAGCUGCUUUAGGGAGAUCCUCCAGGAUCUCCCAACCUGUCACUAGCCGAUUGUGACUGGCUUUGCCAGCUGCUGUGCACCAAUUUCAGUAUAAUCUGCUUGGAACCAGGCUUUAUUCAUAAUUACACUAAGUGUUGUUCUGAAAAUUGCCAGUAGAUGGCAGUUACAGACCUGUUAAAUGGUAAAACCCACUUCUAAUAUCAGAAUUGAUAUUGGCAGUGGGUUACCUUAUGGUUGUUAGUGUUAAAGAGAUAAUGCUGUUUAGGGUUAAGAAGUCCAUGAUCCUUAACAUAUCUGUGCCCAAGUGGACAGUGCAGCAGGUCUGACCUUUCCCAACUCCCUGAACUACCUGGGGGUGUAGGUAAAUAAAGAACUCACUCAACAUUAGCAAGCAAAGUCUCUACCAAUUAUUAGCUGAGAGCAGAGGGACCUGGAGGAUUGGUCAUGGCUGCACUUUUCUUGGCAGGGUGGGGCUCAUUAAAAUAAACAUCUGUACAUAUCCCAGACACUAACGAUUGCCAUUCCCAACGUGUUCUUAACAUCCUUACACACUUUGAUUUUGAGGUUCAUAUGGUGCAAAACUAAGCCACGCAUUAAGCUUGAGGUCCUCACGAUGCUAAAGAUCUGGCGAGGGGGGAGGAGGAGGAGGGUCUAGCCAUACAGGAUUUCAAUCUUUACUACCGAGUGAGUCAUUUCCAGAGGGUGGUUGAAUGGUCUAAACAGUUUUUAAUUUUUAUUAAAUGUGUAAGGUGGUGGAGGCUAUACAGGUAGGCAGACUGAUGGUUGCCAUGCCAUGGAUGGACACUGGUCAUGGAAACAGACCAUUUCUUCUCCCCCACCCCCCCCCACCCUCCUUUAUGGGCGGGGUCUCUGGGAGAGAACAUCUCCAUAGCUCGGGCCCCCUUACCCCUCCCAUGCGCCCUCCCCCCC